GCUGGGCGUGGUGACACACGCUUGUAGUCCUAGCUACUUGGGAAGCUGAGGUGGGAGGAUUGCUUGAGUUCAGGAGGUUGAUGCUGCAGUGAGCUAUGAUUGUGUCACUGCACUCCAGCCUGGACAACAGAGCAAGACCCUGUCUCAA
rnacentral:SRP_RNA from 1 species